rnacentral:rRNA from 1 species
UACGUAGGGUCCAAGCGUUAAUCGGAAUUACUGGGCGUAAAGCGUGCGCAGGCGGUUCGUUAAGUCAGCUGUGAAAGCCCCGGGCUCAACCUGGGAAUGGCGGUUGAAACUGGCGAACUUGAAUCCGGGAGAGGGAUGUGGAAUUCCAGGUGUAGCGGUGAAAUGCGUAGAUAUCUGGAGGAACACCGGUGGCGAAGGCGGCAUCCUGGACCGGUAUUGACGCUGAGGCGCGAAAGCUAGGGGAGCAAACGGG